AGAGUCAGAGUGAACUCACACAGGCUGAAGACAUACAGACCAGAGAAUGAAAACCAUGAAUGCUGUAAAUGCAGUUCAACUGUUCAUUCUGGUUUGGACUUUUACUGCUGUCUGUCAAGCUGAUGAUGACAUCAGUGUAAGCUGUGAGGAUGUGACUGGAACUGUGAGGAAAGAAGUAACUUUAAACUGCAG